AGAGUUUGAUCCUGGCUCAGAACGAACGCUGGCGGCAUGCCUAACACAUGCAAGUCGAACGAGACCUUCGGGUCUAGUGGCGCACGGGUGCGUAACGCGUGGGAAUCUGCCCUUGGGUUCGGAAUAACAGUUAGAAAUGACUGCUAAUACCGGAUGAUGACUUCGGUCCAAAGAUUUAUCGCCCAGGGAUGAGCCCGCGUCGGAUUAGCUUGUUGGUGAGGUAAAAGCUCACCAAGGCGACGAUCCGUAGCUGGUCUGAGAGGACGACCAGUCACACUGGAACUGAGACACGGUCCAGACACCUACGGGUGGCAGCAGUCGAGAAUUUUUCUCAAUGGGGGAAACCCUGAAGGAGCGACGCCGCGUGGAGGAUGAAGGCUUUCGGGUUGUAAGCUCCUGUCAUUUGAGAACAAGGUGCACCGGUUAACUGCCGGUGCAUUGAUAGUAUCAGAAGAGGAAGGGACGGCUAACUCUGUGCCAGCCGCGGCGGUAAUUC
rnacentral:rRNA from 1 species